AGCGAACGCUGGCGGCAGGCUUAACACAUGCAAGUCGAGCGGGCGUAGCAAUACGUCAGCGGCAGACGGGUGAGUAACGCGUGGGAACAUACCUUUUGGUUCGGAACAACACAGGGAAACUUGUGCUAAUACCGGAUAAGCCCUUACGGGGAAAGAUUUAUCGCCGAAAGAUUGGCCCGCGUCUGAUUAGCUAGUUGGUGAGGUAAUGGCUCACCAAGGCGACGAUCAGUAGCUGGUCUGAGAGGAUGAUCAGCCACAUUGGGACUGAGACACGGCCCAAACUCCUACGGGAGGCAGCAGUGGGGAAUAUUGGACAAUGGGCGAAAGCCUGAUCCAGCCAUGCCGCGUGAGUGAUGAAGGCCCUAGGGUUGUAAAGCUCUUUUGUGCGGGAAGAUAAUGACGGUACCGCAAGAAUAAG
rnacentral:rRNA from 1 species